rnacentral:piRNA from 1 species
UACACAACAUGUGGUUAGGUCUCACUGCUGU